GCAGCUAGCACAAAGCUUACAUAGGCCCAAACCACAUAGAUGUUGUUAUACAUGAGCAAAGCAAAUCAGAUGAGGACACGUAAACCUAAUAGAAAAGCAAAGCAUCUAGGGAAACAAUCAGGAAAUCAAGAGCUAAUUAUCUAGGGGAAACAUAGACCCAGUCUCCUUACUUCAUAAGCAUGGUGCUCGAUGUGGAAUAGACAUUCAGAUUUUUCUUUACUGACUGUAUAAAUAUUACUUUAUGCAAUAUACAUAAACACAAGAAGUGGUUAAAUACAACUAAAACAUUUUCUUAAAUGAGAACUCACCAUAUUAAAUACUUAACUUAGAAAGGGAAACUGCAAACAAAAGUCCUAAGUUCCAUCUUAAGAGUAAAUUGAAGAGUAAAUUGAAUCAUAGCAGAGAGAAGGAAAUUAUAUGAAGUAGAAAACAGAAAAACAAUAGAGGAAAAAAAUCAACAAAACAGAAAUCUGAGUUUUUGAAAAAAAAAAAGUACAAUAAAAUCUAUAAACUUCAAGGCAGAAUGACCAAGGGAGGAAGGAGAAGGGAAAGUCAGGCCACAAAUUCCCAAUAUUAGGAAUGAGAGAGGAUGCAUUAGUGUAGACCAAGCUGGUGUUCA